UACGUAGGGGGCAAGCGUUGUCCGGAAUCAUUGGGCGUAAAGAGCGUGUAGGCGGCCAGGUAGGUCGGUUGUGAAAACUGGAGGCUCAACCUUCAGAGGUCGACCGAAACCAUCUGGCUAGAGUCCGGGAGAGGAGAGUGGAAUUCCUGGUGUAGCGGUGAAAUGCGCAGAUAUCAGGAAGAACACCCGUGGCGAAAGCGGCUCUCUGGAACGGUACUGACGCUGAGACGCGAAAGCGUGGGGAGCGAGCAGG
rnacentral:rRNA from 1 species